GUCCCCGUAGAUUAGUGGUUAGAUCAUCACGUUGUGGCUUCUAUGCGCAUCCGUGGAGACCCAGGCUCGACUCCUGGCAGGGACA